rnacentral:tRNA from 1 species
GGCCCUAUAGUUUAAUGGAUAGAAUGGAGGAUUCCGGUUCCUUUGGUCGCAGUUCGAUUCUGCGUGGGGCUA